rnacentral:rRNA from 1 species
UAGGCGGCAUGUACAGUCAGAAGUGAAAUUCCUGGGCUCAACCUGGGGACUGCUUUUGAUACGUGCAAGCUWGAGUGAGGAAGAGGGUUGUGGAAUUUCCAGUGUAGAGGUGAAAUUCGUAGAUAUUGGAAAGAACACCGGUGGCGAAGGCGGCAACCUGGUCCUUUACUGACGCUGAGGCGCGAAAGCGUGGGGAGCAAACAGGAUUAGAUACCCUGGUAGUCCACGCUGUAAACGAUGUGUGCUGGAUGUUGGGGAACU